GACGAACGCUGGCGGCGUGCCUAAUACAUGCAAGUCGAACGCAGUGGGGACGGGUGAGUAACACGUGGGUAACCUCCCAUCAGAGGGGAUAAAAUUUGGAAACAGGUGCUAAACCGAUACUGAUGGAUGGACCCUCGGUGCAUUAGCUAGUUGGUGAGGUAACGGCCCACAAAGGCGACGAUGCAUAGCCGAACGGGGAGGGUGAUCGGCAACACUGGAACGGAGAAACGGCCCAGCCUCCUACGGGAGGCAGCAGUAGGGAAUCUUCGGAAAUGGACGAAAGGCUGACCGAGCAACGCCGCGUGAGUGAAGAAGGUUUUCGGAUCGUAAAACUCUGUUGUUAGGGAAGCGGUAUCUAACCAGAAAGCCACGGCUAACUACGUGCCAGCAGCCGCGGUAAUUC
rnacentral:rRNA from 1 species